AAAAAGGUAAACCCUGGGUUUUUGUGUCCAACUUUGACUGUCCGUCUUAUAUGAAAUUUUUUUAUAAUUCGUAUUUUCAUUGUUGUUGGAUGAUAAAACAUGAUUAAUAUUUUAUACGUGACUUGUCUUUUUAAUUUUUUUUAUAAUUUUUUUAAAUAAGACGGACGGUCAAAUGUUGGGCACGGAAACUAGUGUUUGUCUUUUUU
rfam:Oryza rufipogon genomic scaffold, chr05